rnacentral:rRNA from 1 species
AUUGAACGCUAGCGGGAUGCCUUACACAUGCAAGUCGAACGGCAGCACGGACUUCGGUCUGGUGGCGAGUGGCGAACGGGUGAGUAAUGUAUCGGAACGUGCCCAGUAGCGGGGGAUAAAUACGCGAAAGCGUAGCUAAUACCGCAUACGCCCUUAGGGGGAAAGCAGGGGAUCGCAAGACCUUGCACUAUUGGAGCGGCCGAUAUCGGAUUAGCUAGUUGGUGAGGUAAUGGCUCACCAAGGCCGCGAUCCGUAGCUGGUUUGAGAGGACGACCAGCCACACUGGGACAGAGACACGAACCAGACUCCUACGGGAGGCAGAAGUGGGGAAUUUUGGACAAUGGGGGAAACCCUGAUCCAGCCAUCCCGCGUGUGCGGUGAAGGCCUUCGGGUUGUAAAGCACUUUUGGCAGGAAAGAAACGGCGCGUGCUAAUACCAUGCGCAACUGACGGUACCUGCAGAAUAAGCACCGGCUAACUACGUGCCAGCAGCCGCGGUAA